GAAAAUAAAGACGCUCGGAAGGAGGAAGUGUAGGAUAUCUAGAAAAUAAAGACUCUCGGAAGGAGGAAGUGUAGGAUAUCUAGAAAAUAAAGACGCUCGGAAGGAGAAAGUGUAGGAUAUCUAGAAAAUAAAGACGCUCAGAAGGAGGAAGUGUAGGAUAUCUAGAAAAUAAAGACGCUCGGAAGGAGAAAGUGUAGGAUAUCUAGAAAAUAAAGACGCUCAGAUUUGAAAAUCAGAGGUUUUCCUAACAGCCUAAUCGAGGUGUUUUACAAGGCUACAUGUAAAUCCUUCUGCUGACCUUAACUAGUUGCUUAUCAACAGGGACGGCAGCGUAGCCUAGUGGUUAGUUUAGCGCGUUGGACUAGUAACCGAAAGGUUGCAAGAUCGAAUCCCCGAGCUGACAAGGUACAAAUCUGUCGUUCUGCCCCCUGAACAAGGCAGUUAACCCACUGUUCCCCGGUAGACCGUCAUUGUAAAUAAUAAGAAUUUGUUCUUAACUGACUUGCCUGGUUAAAGGUUAAACAAACAUUUAAAACAGAGAAUGACUAUCCAAACUAAGCGAGACCAGGAUUUAUCUUAACGCCGCUCCGUGCAGCCAUCGGAUAAACCCCAGGAGCCCCUCUGGACGGCUCUUAUUAACGCCGCUCCUCCGCUGUCAAAACGUCAGCUGAAAACCCCCAUCUGAUUGGAUCUACAGUAACUAGACCUUCCCUGAGCGAGACGCCGAACACAUUGACUUACCAACAUCCUGGUUACUAACGGGAGGCUGGGGGAUUCAAUCCAAUUACAGGUGGUUACUAACGGGGAGGCUGGGGGAUUCAAUCCAAUUACAGGUGGUUACUAACGGGGAGGCUGGGGGAUUCAAUCCAAUUACAGGUGGUUACUAACGGGGAGGCUGGGGGAUUCAAUCCAAUUACAGGUGGUUACUAACGGGGAGGCUGGGGGAUUCAAUCCAAUUACAGGUGGUUACUAACGGGGAGGCUGGGGGAUUCAAUCCAAUUACAGGUGGUUACUAACGGGGAGGCUGGGGGAUUCAAUCCAAUUACGGGUGGUUACUAACGGGGAGGCUGGGGGAUUCAAUCCA
rnacentral:lncRNA from 1 species